rnacentral:lncRNA from 1 species
UUUUUUUUUGUUACAUUCAAACCAAAGCGACAAUGAUUUGUGGUGAUCCAUUCUUUUUAUAACCCCUUGUGGAGCUUCUAGGAAGGACAAUAUGCACAAAGGUUUGCUAAUCAUAAAAGCCCUUAUAAGAAAAACUCCACCCAUAGAGAAGGGAUAUUCCCUUUCACCCGAUGGCGGAGCCACCUCCCUGCGACCCUGAAUAUUUUUGUAACUUACAUUCAGAAGAGAAAUAGGUCAAAUUUUUUGAAUAAAUGUGGCAUCUUGAACUUCAGGUACGAUUGCAAUCACACAAUGGUUCAUUCUUUCAAUGUUCAAAUCACACGUGUGUAAAGUAUCCAAUAGCUUACUUGCAAAAAAGAGAGUAUCCAAUAGCUUCUUUCAAAUCCCUUUUGAUUUCCUCUCAGAAUCCUUGAUCAAAUUUUUGUAAGCCAACCAUCUACACUUGCAGAUUCAUCUACUUCUAUCAAACAAAACAUGUUUUAUCUCCUCCAUUAUAAAUUUGAGGUUAAGAACUAUCUGACUUUAUUUGCUCACACUCGAUCUCACUGAUCUCUAUUGUGGUCAUCUCAGAUGGCACAAAUAAAUCUUUAUAUAAAUCAGUAACAUGCCUUAGCAAGUUAUGGUCUCCCUGAAUUUCCUUUCCUCCGGACCUUGGCAUAGAAAUGUAAUUAUUAUUUUCUAUCACGAGCAUUACGGUGGAAAAUUUUAGUGUUUCCAUUGUCUUCUUUUUAAUCCUUUUUUUAACCCUAUGUUUUCAUUUGAAUAGUAUCUCUGAGUUUUUCUUUCCCCUGCAGACAGGGGAUUGUUCAGAGCAGGCUGAAUGGACAAUGGGGAUGAAAUAGGUACCGGGCUCGGAGUCUAGAACAUGCCUAGGAUCUCUACUCCUAAUGAAGCAGUUGGUAGUUUCCGCCGGUCAAUUUUCGUCCCACCUCCGCUGGUUUUUUUUCGUCCUUAAAAAAUCUACGAAAUUUCGUAGGUUAACCAGGGACAACUCCCACCUCCCGCCUCGACAAAAAACCCAACCAAAACCAAAAAAAAAAAAACCCUCGAACUCCGACGGGAACGAGGCUCCCCUCGAUCUCAAACACCGUACAUCUAGCGUCANNNNNNNNNNNNNNNNNNNNNNNNNNNNNNNNNNNNNNNNNNNNNNNNNNNNNNNNNNNNNNNNNNNNNNNNNNNNNNNNNNNNNNNNNNNNNNNNNNNNNNNNNNNNNNNNNNNNNNNNNNNNNNNNNNNNNNNNNNNNNNNNNNNNNNNNNNNNNNNNNNNNNNNNNNNNNNNNNNNNNNNNNNNNNNNNNNNNNNNNNNNNNNNNNNNNNNNNNNNNNNNNNNNNNNNNNNNNNNNNNNNNNNNNNNNNNNNNNNNNNNNNNNNNNNNNNNNNNNNNNNNNNNNNNNNNNNNNNNNNNNNNNNNNNNNNNNNNNNNNNNNNNNNNNNNNNNNNNNNNNNNNNNNNNNNNNNNNNNNNNNNNNNNNNNNNNNNNNNNNNNNNNNNNNNNNNNNNNNNNNNNNNNNNNNNNNNNNCUCCUGCCAGAGCCCACACCCCACCAUACGUAGAUCUGGCCGGGAGCCCCUCCACCACCAUCCCCGCCCCUCCCGUGCGGCCUUCCUCGUCUCUGGUGAUGAAGUUCGUCCCCGGAUCCGUGACGACGGCGCCUCGGUGACAACCCCACGCGUGCGGCUUGGCCGGCCCAGAUCCGAUCUGGCGACCCCCCCCCCCUUCUGACUGGCUGAUGCGUCCUCCGGCCCGGCAUGCCCGCCUCCUCCCUUGGCAGCGGGGACUUGGUCUUGCUCCUCCCCUGGCCGCAUCCUCCCUCGGCAGCACUCUCUCUUCAUGUUGCAUUCUUGCUGGUGGUGGUUGGGCUUGGUCACUUGAUACAUGUCUGAUUGAUGAACUUGAUAUUGCGACCUUUCACAUCUUUAGGUUCUGGAAGUUAGAUUAUCUUGGCCUGGAUGUGCAUACUCGCCUGGUCAAUAUGAUUUCCUGAUUUGAGCAUAUGUUCUGUGUUGCAGGUCCUUGAGUUUGGGUGUGACUGGCCAUUAAGCUUGGUGGCUCAUAAUAUUUGCUCGAUGGAAACCAAGCAUACCACGGGAGGUAAGCAUUCCCCGAUUCUGGACACUUGAAUGUCAACUUAUCUCAUCUUGGAGAUCUUCUGACGUUCUGAAUAUGUGCACUCACUGUAAUCUGUGUACUGUUUUAGAUGUGUAAUAAGUGGAUACGUCCCUAAUAGGGCACAGGUCCAUAUGGCAUCUUUCUGCAGAAAUUUGAUUUAAGUGAUCUUAUUACUGUCUUAUGCUAGCUAAUAUUUUUGCGAUCAAGGUUGUGUUGGAAGAACUGAUGGUUGGGUCCUCUGAAUAUCAUCGUGUUACAGAAACAAUGAUCUUUUCUUAGUCUACUAUAAUGACUGCCUAUUGUUGCACAACAUCCAUCCAUCCUUAUGCUAUUCGGUUAUUAUUAUUUUUGAACUGGGUUUAAUCCCUUCACAUUUCAAAGUGUUGUGUGUGCAUUCGCAUAACUACUUGUGUUACGAGUGCAGGAUUCAAAGAAUUUCUAUUGGGAAAUCAAAGGGGGCAAUAACUUCAAUUGGGAGAAGUCGCUAGAAAAGAAGGUCAGAGCGAUAACCUUGGUUAAACACAUUCGUUGUUAAUAUUUGGCAGACGUAUAGAUGAUGCCUAUGAGGCUAUGACCCAAUAUCAUUAUUCUUUAUCUUGCAGACUCAAGAAAAAUAUUAGAUUAAAUGGAUUGUACAAGAGAAUUAUUUCUACUUUGGUAUGACGAUGUUCGAAAGGGCUAGAAGUAUAAUUGAUUCUCAUACUGUUUUUUUAAGUUGAUGCUCAUACUAUUGAACUUAGCUAACUAGAUGUUUCAAAGCAAAGGCACAUGAAGAAACACAUAUUAGUUUCAACUGGUAGCUCUCAUCAAAAUUCCUAGAAAAGGUUUAGGAAUAUUUCCAUGAUAAAUUUUUAUAUUAAUUACUUGUACGGGUGAUGGUAAUGUUAACAUGUUUUUUUGGCUCCUUUGUACACGGAUUAGGCUUGUUCAGCACAACUCAUUUUCUCAAUAUUAGGCUUGUUCUUUCUGUACUGAAAACAGUAUUAGUAGUAGCAUGCAUUUUGACUCAGUUUUCUUUUGUAGGAGACCUCUACCUGGUAACCACAUUCUCCACGUGGACGUGGGAAUAAGAAAGCGUAGCAGAGACAUGAAAAGGUGGGGUGCGACCUUGAAAUGCUCAUCAAAUUGCUGGCUCCAUGUUGCCUCUCCACUGUCAUCAUACUUGUCUGCAUCAAGAAUAGUGUAGGCACUGCUGCUGGGGGAGGGGCGCCGGUUGAGCUCCGUCGGGCAGCACUUCGAGCUGCUAUAAAAAUAUCAUGAUCAUCUUUUGGUGAAUACAAAGAUGUUUGUAACCUCAUAAGCAGAGCUCUGUACUGCUGCUUGUAUAUUGAGAGAUACUACAGGAAUUUAUACACUCAUAGCUUAUCUUUCUGAUAACUGUCAUGCAUAUAUUUCAACUAAAUUAUGGUUAUUGUUUAUGUUUGUCAAACUAAGCCAUUGAUAGGAUAAUCAAAAGUAGUUGUUGAUUGACAAAGCUAGACAACUUACAGACAUUAUACCAGCUAGGAAUUUAUUGAUGGGACAAAAUUAUGUCAUGGUUUAUAUACAGGUGAUCGAUACUUCAGGUAGCUCACUACUUGAUUCCAUAGAUCAUACACUAACAAUUUUUCUUUGGAUACAGCAAGGAUCAUACCCCACCCACGCGGCGGCACGACGCAGAAGGGCUACAUGGGUUAAUAGCGGCGUGUGCAAUGGAAGGACGCCUACGAGAACAAGCUCGCCGAGGUCUUGGAAUUCCAACCUAGGUAAACAAGUGAGCUCACUUUAACAGUUUACCCUUUUUUGGUGAUGUGGGCUAACUCAUUAAUUAAGGGCUACUCAGCUCUGUAUUUUUCUCUCUUUGGUAAUAGAAAUCCCCCUACAUCGCCUCUGUUCGAUUUUGGUAGCUAUCCUUGUUCUAGAUCAUAGGGUUGUCAUCUUCAUAUGUCAUAUGAUAUAUAAUUGAUGCAAAUUGCAGCUGACCCAUCGUCUAUCUGUAACCAUUUAUCUGUAGUUGUGCUCUUUGGCCAGAACGGUGGUAUCUUUGGCCAGAUGACUGGACCAUCUUCUAUGAUCCAGAAGAAGCACCUCUCGCACAAACAUGUAUAUUUAUUUGUGAAUUCGAUCCUAACAAGAGUAUUUGACCUUUAACAUUUUUCUGACAGAAAGUAUGACCACCAAAAUUUCUUGGAAUUCAAUAGCUCCUAAAACAGAUGUUUUGUCAUAGUGAAGGAACCAGAGGGGAGGAUAUAUAGGUAUGCCCCGCCGUGACGCAGCCCUUGAUCCGUCUUUGGUCAAGCUUCUGUAUUAUCUAAUCAUACUGAACAUAUAUCUAUUGCAUCGCUAGAAGCUGAACUCACCAUGUACUGAUUAUAUAUUUUGAAGGAAAUAUGCCCUAGAGGCAAUAAUAAAGUUAUUAUUUAUUUCCUCAUAUCAUGAUAAAUGUUUAUUAUUCAUGCUAGAAUUGUAUUAAUCGGGAACAUGAUACAUGUGUGAAUACAUAGACAAACAUAAAGUCACUAGUAUGCCUCUACUUGACUAGCUCAUUAAUCAAAGAUGCUUAUGUUUCCUAACCAUAGACAUGUGUUGUCAUUUGAUUAACGGGAUCACAUCAUUAGGAGAAUGAUGUGAUUGACUUGACCCAUUUCGUUAGCUUAGCACACGAUCGUUUAGUAUGUUGCUACUGCUUUCUUCAUGACUUAUACAAAGUUCCUACAACUAUGAGAUUGUGCAACUCCCGUUUACCGGAGGAACACUUUGUGUGCUACCAAACGUCACAACGUAACUGGGUGAUUAUAAAGGUGCUCUACAGGUGUCUCCAAAGGUACAUGUUGAGUUGGCAUAAUUCGAGAUUAGGUUUUGUCACUCCGAUUGUCGGAGAGGUAUCUCUGGGCCCUCUCGGUAAUACUCAUCACUUAAGCCUUGCAAGCAUUGUAACUAAUGAGUUAGUUACGAAAUGAUGUAUUACGGAACGAGUAAAGAGACUUGCCGGUAACGAGAUUGAACUAGGUAUUGGAUACCGACGAUCAAAUUCUCGGGCAAGUAACAUACCGAUGACAAAGGGAACAACGUAUGUUGUUAUGCGGUUUGACCGAUAAAGAUCUUCGUAGAAUAUGUAGGAACCAAUAUGGGCAUUCAGGUCCCGCUAUUGGUUAUUGACCGAGAAUGGUUCUAGGUCAUGUCUACAUAGUUCUCGAACCCGUAGGGUCCGCACGCUUAACGUUACGAUGACAGUUUUAUUAUGAGUUUAUAAGUUUUGAUGUACCGAAGUUUGUUCGGAGUCCCGGAUGUGAUCACGGACAUGACGAGGAGUCUCGAAAUGGUCGAGACAUAAAGAUUGAUAUAUUGAACGACUAUAUUCGGACACCGGAAGUGUUCCGGAUGAUUUCGGAGAAAACCGGAGUGUCGGGGGGGUUACCGGAACCCCCCGGGAGAGUAUUGGGCCUUAUGGGCCUUAGGGGAAAGGAGAGAUGGGCGGCCAGCAUGGGCCACGCGCCCCCUCCACCCUCUGGUCCGAAUUGGACUAGGAGGGGGGCGGCGCCCCCCUCUUUCCUUCCCCCUCUUCCCCUUCCUCCCCCCUCCUAGUAGGAGUAGGAAAGGAGGAGUCCUACUCCUACUAGGAGGAGGAUUCCUCCUCCCUUGGCGCGCCCAAAGGGGCCGGCCGGCCUCCCCCUCCCUCCUUUAUAUACGGGGGCAGGGGGCACCCCAUAUACACACAAGUUGAUCUACAGAUCGUUCCUUAGCCGUGUGCGGUGCCCCCCUCCACCAUAUUCCACCUCGGUCAUAUCGUCGCGGAGUUUAGGCGAAGCCUUGCGCCGGUAGAACAUCAUCAUCAUCACCACGCCGUCGUGCUGACGGAACUCAUCCCCGAAGCUUUGCUGGAUCGGAGCCCGGGAAUCGUCAUCGAGCUGAACGUGUGCUGAACUCGGAGGUGCCGUACGUUCGGUGCUUGGAUCGGUCGGAUCGUGAAGACGUACAACUACAUCAACCGCGUUGUCAUAACGCUUCCGCUUACGGUCUACGAGGGUACGUGGACGAACACUCUCCCCUCUCGUUGCUAUGCCAUCACCAUGAUAUUGCGUGUGCGUAGGAAAUUUUUUGAAAUUACUACGUUGCCCAACAUAUUUCCCUGGUCACAAUUAGAUGGUUAAUAAUUUCAUGCACACAAUAGCAGAUAUUCAGAUAUUUGGAAUUGUUUUGCUGUGUUCUUUCUAUGAAAGAUAAGCAUGAAUGCAGCGAUGGCAAAUCUAAACAUCGUUGCCAAUUUUCUCUUUCAUGGAGUAGGAUGAAUGUCAUGGCAGCAACUGCAAGCUGCAAAAACAUUAUUGUUACGGGGUGCACCAGUUUCAACUGUGUCUUCUUGCAAGCUCCUUGUCAAGGAGAGUCCCAAGGUCAGUCUGUACUCUGUUGGCUAAUUAAUCCAUUGACUAUGUCCUAUGAUUCUCUAGGAGCACUAAGAAAUUGUAUGUUUUUUUAUAAGGUGACUGAAACAAAAAUAAUAAUAUUUUCACGCCACAUCCAGGAGAUGAAAACUUUAUUGGUAAAAAGACACAAGCUUACCCUUUUCAGCUUGUCUCAAGCAAUUAAGAGUUCCGUUCUUAUUUUUGAGCACUUCGAAUGUGUAUCUCUUAUGGACUAAUACUUUCUGAUCUGACACCCUAGUAACAUCAUGAUUUUGUGUAAUUUUUCUGAGUGCAAGGCUGGCUGACCCAUUUUUUUACAAGGAUUUGCAAUACUGAGAGACUCAGCCUGCACUGGUAAAAAUCCCAAUUGACUUUGCCCUUGAUUAUUGCAAUAAUGGGUUGAUUUUAGUGGUUUGGUCUGUGACGUGAAUGUGAGCUAGAGUAUAGGGAUUACCUGUGCCACUAUCAGUUGGCUUACAGUUUGGUGAUCCAGCACAAUCUUUCUAUUUUCUUCAAAUUCUUAAGCAAUUACUCACGUUUGAAGAAUGACGAUGGAGCAUACCUUCUUUUAGAAAACUAUACUGUGGACCAUGGGUGUUCAAGAUUAUAUUGUGGUUUGGGCAAUUGUGAGACGUCUAUCACCAUGAAUUGCUUAGAUGAUGCACCAAAGUGGACCUAUUUUGCAUUCAUGGACUUUGAUAUUUUUACUGAUCUCAUGGUUGUGAACAUCAAUGGUGUAAAGUAUAUGUAUUGCUGCUCAUAGAUAAAUCUUUACCGAGUUUUCAUUUUAUCAUGUACACUUCAAGUCUUGCUUGCCAAACUUCCACAAGUUCAUGUUAAAUUGUUAACUGCCUCAUGUUUGUUCUUCAUUAUUCCAUAUCAAAGUGAUGUUGUCCAAUGCGUCUGUUCCUGUCUGAUGAAAUUGCUUUCCAUGAGGUAUGCCCUGAAGAUGACACAAUAUCAUUCCUCUUGGUGCCUGUGCUAAUAUAACUCUUAUUUUGAAAAAAAAAACAGUUUCUAUGUAUUUGGGAGCAGGAUAUUAGGUAGAAAUCUUUUGGUGAACUGCAGAUUUAAGCGUCUCUGGCGAGUUCUUUGUCGGUCAGCACCACCUCCCUUGGCGCUUGACCUAGCAGAUGUGUGUGCGUGUGCAGAUCACCCAUGCCUCCACUACGCCACCUGCUGUUGGAUGGCACUGGCCGUCCAAGCGUGUGGAACUGGAAGGACUGUCCUUCAUGGUGGCACAACUCAGCUCGGAGGAUAAAAGACCAAGGUCCUGCAGGUAACAUCCCAUCAACUACCUGUCUACUCCCUCCGUCCCAAUAUAAGUGACUCAACUUUGUACUAACUUUAGUACAAAGUUAGUACAAACUUGAGUCACUUAUUUUCGGACGGAGGGAUUACUAAAUAGAAAGCUUCCAUCUUGAUGUAAUUUACUGGAGGUUAAUCCUACUUGCUUGUUUGAUAAACCUUGUCAUAUGCUUCAUGUGAGGUUUCUUGUAUUGGUAGCAGGCAAUGAGUUACUAUAUAUGAUAUCAUAUUCCAAAUACAAUUAUUCAACUCAUCAGUUCAGCAGAUCCUACAUAAAAGGAAAAGUGAACAGACAACAUGCAUUUGCUUUGGUUUAUGGUUUUUUAGAGCAUCACUAAGUUUGCCAAAAGAAAUUCGCCCAAAACAAACAUCACGACACUCCGUUUUAGCCUAAACAGAAGUGGCUUCAGUUUAUGACAUCUCUGAAUUUUGAGAAUAGUAGGACAUGAUCUGCAAUUGCGCUUUGCAAGUUUUACUGAUUUCUUGUGCAAGAUCCUAAAACAGUUUACCAUUUUGAUCCCUAGAUUUUCUUAUAUUGUCGAAGUUUCUUCCAAAUAAAUAUACAAUAUGUUUGGGGUUUAUCUGAGUGCCUAGCAUGGUGCAACAGUUAUAUUUUUCUUCAACGACGGUGAAAGAGCUAUCACUUAUAUCGAUCUCCAAUUCAAGUUCUUUUUUUCUAUGGAGGGCACUGUAACUAUCUCAUGGUCAGAACAUUGAUCCUGUUAGUAAUUUAGUCUAUAAUAUUUAGUUUCAAAAGAUAAUUUCUCUUGAGUGAGAAGUUUCCAUUUCUCUUGAGUGAGAAAUUUCCAGAGGGCGGCGGUGUUGAAGGGAGCCGCUGGCGCUGGCCAAGAUCCCAACCGAUGGACGUGCCUGGUCGCUGGAUCCAGUUCACGCGUUGGCUUGGGGGCACCUCGGGGAUGUCACCGGUGUUGGAGGCGUCCACAAUAGUGCGGGAUGGGGACCGAGCGUCGGGGCAUGUCGCGGGUUCCGGUUGAGGGCUUGAUCAUAUAACUGAAUUCUUAUUGCUUGCUUUCUGACAUUGUGACAUUGAACACUAGAGCUGAAUUGACUCUCUUCACAAGACUCACUUUGAUACAGCCUUCAUGUGAAGUUUUCAAGUACUACAUAUAGGAGGGGGCAGGAGUGGCUGCAAUCUUGCUACGAAAUGACACUUAUGGAGCUUCUUUACCUAACAUGGCCAAGAAGUCUGCAAACUCCAGUAAUCGUAGAGUAGAGCCGGUUGGAUACAUAUUUGCAGAGUGCAUGUAGUGUGUGUGUCAGAUAUACAGUGGGAAAACACAACAAUGCAAGUGUCAGAUCCUGUUCUCGAUGCAAUUUUGCGACUCUAUUCUGGACUGUAAGCAAUUGGUUGAUGUUAAGCUGAAACUCGGAUCAGUCUUGUGGCUCUUGUGUACCUAUAUGCCUAGAUUAUUUAAUAAUGGUAUAUGAACUAUAUCUUCCUGUAUAGGAUGAUCAAUUGCCAGGAAUAGAAAGACUAUGGUUUUGAUUUUUAUCAUGUUUUUGUGAUUAGCUUCCUGGUAGACUGGACUUCCAGUUAUCUGCUAGACUAAAUAAUUUCUAGCUGAUUUUUAACUAUUGAUUAGUACACAGAGAUGAAUUAUGUUGGUCUCAAAAUGCAACACAUUUCUUGGAUGCCUUGACUGCAUGCAUACUUGUGUUAUAUUCUCUCCGUCCCAAAAUAAGUGUCUCAAGUUUGUACUAACUUUAAUACAAAUUUGUAAUAAGCUUGAGACACUUAUUUUGGGAUGGAGGGAGUAUGUGAUAUGCUCAUGAUAUAUGUUGGAUGGUGUCUUCCUUUUUUAGCUUGAUUAGAUGCAAAUGUGGACGUGUUUGUGGGAGACUUUGCAUGGCCUGGUCCUUACAACAUCGUUGGUGGCCCGAUUUUAUGUGUGGCUGGUAGCUGGUCUAUUUUUUCUUGGGAACAGUCAAAAUGAGUUGUAUGCUGCUAGCUGUGGACGGGAAAAUACAUGGAUGAACCCAAGUACAUCUGCACCCACUUCGAAAGACAUAUUUAUAAGUUUUUUAAAAAUCUAAAAUUGUUGCACAUGUACAUUUUCAUAUUCUAUGUGUGCGCCGAGCUGUGGUGGAGUGUGUCCAUGCGGUGACGAUGACAGGCGCUCGGUGGUCGGUUACGGAGGGCACGGUCGGCGCAAGUCCUGCAUAUUUCCCUCGUGAUGAUCGUCGUCAGAGUCGGAGUUGUCGGUUGUUCGCGCGUGUGGCCUUCUGUUGGCAUGUGCUGCAUGGUUUCUGUGCAGCUGUUGUAGCUUUGUGAUCCCAUGUUGGUGGCCAGGUUGGCCGGUGGUACCCAUAUUAUGUGGGUUGGAUUGUAUCGGUUUUAGCCCGGUUUUCCAUCAAUUAAUCGGGCAAUUCUCUUCUUAAUCAAUGAAAAUGGCAAGUCUUUUGCCUCGGUUCAAAAAAAAGAUUCGAAGGAAUUAUUUUUCGUGUGCAAAAAAGUGUCUCAUGGAACCCUAUUUUCAACCAUUGAAAUUUGGCUUUUUUUGUAAUGGCAAAAUAAAAUGAUGUAUCUUUACAAAAGUUUGUGUUGCGCACAUAUUUUUGCAGAGAUGUAGGCGAGAAAUCUUGUUUUAGAAUUAUUUAUGACAUUUAAAAAUGCGUUUAACAUGCAUUUCUAAGAGAUGGGUGCAUAUACACUCAGGCUGCAGGUGGGACUAUAUAUGGGAGUCCCAUCACAAUCCACCUAGUCCCAAUAUCGGUUUGUGUUGAAAAAGUGGACAUCCCACUAAAACAAACAUAGAUUAAGUGGAAAUAAGUGGGAUUCCCAUUUAACAAAGCAAAGCAUUUUACCGAGCAGCAGUACGCUAGUACAGAGAAACAUGGCCACAUUCGGAAGCACAUUCAGAGCAGCAUGCACACACCACCUCCAGCGCGACCCAGCACCGGCUCUCCGGGCCGCCGCCGUCGUCGUCGACGAAAUAAUCAUUGGUGCGUUGGUGCUCGCCGUCGUUGAAGCCUGCCAUGGCAUGGUACGUUUGCCAUCUGAUUUCAGGAAUGAAACAGGGGAGCUGGGGCUCCUUCACUCGAAAAAAACUGAAACAACGACCUCCCAUGCACGCACUAGCAUCGAUGGCGUUCCUGUCGGCGCAUCUGAACGCGUCGACGACGCCGGGCGCGUCCUUGGCCGCCACCAUCCUCGACGGUGUGAGGUCCUCGCGGCGGCCGUCAAAGCUCACCUGGGGGCUCACCUAAUGCAUUUUCCUGACGGCACCGCCGGCGCCGGCCGCGGCCUGCCGGAGCUAGCAGAAGAAGACAGCGCCCUUGGUGUGCACAGCGUCCGUCACGAGCUUCACGGCGCCCAGAUCCCUCGAUUGUUCCCGGCGCAACGCGAGUAGCCUCGGUGUUGGGGAGGCCGCCGGGGUUGGCGCCGUGUGAGGAGGAAGAAGCAGAGGCGCGAUGGCGGACUGACGGCGGCCGGAGCAAGCUGCGGCACCGUCCUCUUCUCUGCUGAUUGGGGCACGACCUACUAGGGUCGAUGUAUAAUAGGCAAAGGUGGACUCCCAACGGGAUAGGUGGGCUAACCCGAUUACUAUUUUUUCUUUCCAAUGGGCUCCCACUAAAGCAAAUUAAGUGGAAUGGGCUAAUUAGUCCCACUUAAUUCCACCUCCACUUGCAGCCUGAAUAUACACGGCGAUCUUCUUUUUGUACCUAUGAACAUUAUGAUUCAGUAAUAAAGCUUUGUGAGAUUCUCAAAAUAAAAAAACCUAACAGGCGGUGGUGGAUCGACGCAAGUAAACAAAGCUGGAGAGGAAAUUCACGACGGCGGAAAAGUCUACAGAAGCAGAGCUUGGGUCUGCUCUGCACCAUCGAAGAACCCACGGCAGUACGAGUGCUCCGGUACAACCUGCAGCAAUCGCUGCUAGCACAGAAGGCCACGCCGAACGCAGUGUGUACCACCCAUCAGUCGCGCUCACCAAGCAGAACACGCACAGGUACAGGUACACUACACUGGGCCACUCGACACACCAGCUAGCAGCUACUGCAGGCCAUAGCAGCUAGUAGUACAGGCCGGAAAAUUAUGAUAUUCAAAUCCCAAUAUUAUUUCUGUAGAUUACAGCUGACACUUAUAUCAGUUGUAAGCAUACACAAGUCCCAAAAAUAAAAUUUGCUUCUUCCUUUUUAUUUUCCAUCUAACCAUGUUAUCUUCCACAACCUAGUGUAAUGCAUCUACCAGGGUUCUGCUAUAUCUUACUACAAGGUCCUUUUGAAUAUGAUAUAUCUCCGACCUUCGUCUUUACAUUUUGGUACUGUAACUAGCUUUGUGAAAGAUAUGAUGUACAAUCCGCCUAGAACUGGGUUAGCUCCAUUGGCAACUACUCUCUCAACGUAGCUCUAAAAACUUGGUUCACAUUCAUCAAAACCUAGCAAAAGUGUAACCCUCUAGUCUAUUUUUAUUCGAUAGAAAUGGUUUUUGAAGAGAUUUCUUAGUCAGUAGAGUUUGCCAAACCUGAGUUUCCCAAGUCACUUACUCAAAAAGCUACCCCCUCCGUCCCAAAAUAAGUGUCUUAAUCUUUAGUAAAAAGUUAAGGCACUUAUUUUGGGACGAAGGGAGUAUGAUUUAUGGUUGUCAGAUCCAUAAUUCCCAAACCACAACAACCUUGAGGCAUAACAAGCAAUAGGUCAAUUAACAAAGUUUUUUUUGUUACAUUCAAACCAAAGCAUCGAAGAUCCGUGAUGCUCCAUUUUUUAUAACCCCCUUUUGAGCUUCUAGGAAAGACAAGAUGCACAAAGGUAUGCUAAUCAUAGAAGCCGUCAUAAGAACAACUAUGUCCACAUAGAUUGAAUGUUUCCUUUCCACCCAGUGGCGGAGCCACCUCGCCGUGACCCCGAGCAAUGAGGAGAUUACCUUUGUAAGUUUUUGUAACCUAAAUUCAGGAGACAAAAAUAGGCAUAAACUUCUGAAAAAUGUGGUAUCAUAAACUGUAGGUACGAUUGCACUCCUAAUGUUUAAAUCACACAUGAGUAAAGUAUCAAAAGAAAUACCUCCAAAUCCCUCUUGUUUUCCUCUCGGAAUUCUAGAUCAACUUUUUGUAAGCAAACCAUCUACUUUUUUCGAGGGUACGCCAAAGGCGUACCAUAGCUUUAUAGAAGAAGAGAAAGUUAUGUACAAGAGAUUACAUGGUAGGUAGAUGGCCCUGAAAAGAAACCUCCACCGUACCCUCCACUCCUAGCAUCAAAAACCUACUACUCACACAACGUAGUUACUCUGGUGCCUCCUGCUCUAGACCACAGCUCUAAUUCUUGCCAGAUCAGGUCCACGGUUCCUACUACAUUCCUCAAGUCAUUCCUUCCAAAGACCCUCCCAUUGCGUUGCUUCCAAAUGUUCAAGCAGAUCGACGUGAUCACCGAGUCAAAACCCUUCCUCUGCCUCUUCGGGAUAUGCUUCCUCGUGGUAUGCCACCAGUCAUCAAUUGUGGAAUGUUGUGUCGGACAAAGGUUUGGGUUAAUGUUCAUUCUGCAGAAGCAAAUGUACCACACCUGCCUUGCAAACACACACUGCAUAGUGAUGUGAUCAACAAUGUCCUCCUCCUGCUCACAAAGAUAGCAUGGCGACCUUUGGUCCUGUAAACCAUGACAAAAUCGUCUGUCCGCCGUCCAGAGUCUGUAUUGCACCGCCAGCCACAUGAAAAGCUUGCACACCAGCAGUGCCCAACACUUCCAUAUGGCCGCAUAAGCUCGAAACCUAAUACCUCCCAUGCAGAGCAUCUUGUAAGCUAAAGACGCAGUGUAGACUCCUUCUCGGUUCCAAGACCAAAUUGGCUUGUCCUCGGUCCCAGGCUCCAGCUGCAGAUCCAUCAGAAUCUCCCACAAGCGAAUGAAUUGAGCCAAACCUUCCGUGCAUAGCUGGCCUACAAUGUCAUCCAUCCACUCGUGCAUCCACAACGCAUCCUUCACACGCCUUCUAUUCAGAACAUGUGUUCUGACUUGUUUAUAAACCAGCGGUGCCAACUCUCCAAUUGUAGCUCCGCUGAUCCAUCUAUCUCUCCAGAACAGAACUUCCGUUCCCUCGCCCACCUGCCACUUCACAAGACUAGCGAAUGUUGCACUUGCUUGUUUGUCCGGGGUCCAGUUCAAGCCUUGCCACAGCCUCGUGUCAUCUGUCCUAGAUAACCACUUCCAUCUCAUUCUGAGGGCAAUCCCUUGCUUAUACAGGUCAACCACCCCCAGCCAUCCAAGCUCUUUUGGUCGACAAACAAGCUUCCAUGACACCAAACAGCGGCCACCGUGGACUUCCUCUGAUCCAGCCCAAAAGAAAGCUCUACAACCCUUAUCCACCCGCUCCAAAGCCCAUUUUGGAGCUUCAGCAACAAUCAGAUGGUGGGUCGGCCUUGCCCUCAUCACAUGGCUGACCAGAAUCAAUCUUCCUGGCCUUGUCACAAACCCUCUCUGCCAUCCCGGGACGAUACGAAGUGCAGCAUCCACCACCAGUUGCUACUCUGAUCUCUUAAGCUGCUUGAUACUAAGCUGCAACCCAAAGUAUUUGCACGGGAAAGUCUCCAUCUUCCAAGGCAAGGCCUCCUUCACAAGUUGUUCGUCUUUGAUCUCUGCUCUGAUCAUAAUAGCCGCCGACUUAUUGUAAUUGACUCUCAAGCCCGGAGCUUCUCCAAAGAUCCCAAGAACUUCCUUGACAAAGAAUAAAUCUGACACCGUGGGCUUGAUGAAGAACACCACAUCGUCCGCGUAAAGGGAUAAACGCUGCAUUGGGCUACAACCAUUCAUCCUGCUCAACACAUCUGACUCAUGGGCUUUGAUCACAAUCUCGGUCAACACGUCCAUGGCAAUGACGAAUAGGAGGGGUGAUACCGAAUCUCCUUGCCUCAGCCCCUCUGCAUGCAUAAAUUUUAGCCUGACUGAAUCAUUCACCACCAUUCUAGAGCUUGCCGAAGUGAGCAGGGACCCGAUCCAUGCAAUCCAGUGCUCCGUGAACCCUUUUGCUCUAAGGACCUCGAAAAGGAAAGGCCAUGAAAGUGAAUCAAAAGCCCUAGAGAUGUCCAACUUCAGCAAAACACCUCUGGCCUUCCUUUUAUGGAAUCUUCUCGCCAUUUGCCGGACCAACAGAAAAUUGUUAUAGAUGUUUCGGCCAAUAAUGAAAGUCGACUGGUUUAUAUGCACCAACUCUCCCAUUCUCGGCCUUAAUAUGGUUGCCAACAGCCUGGAUGCUAGCUUUGGCAUGCUAUGGACAAGGCUAAUUGGCCUGAAGUCAUUGAUGCCGCAAGCCUCAGGGGUUUUAGGAAUGAGUGUUAUGAUAGCAUGGUUAAGCCGCCCAAAACCAACCCUAUUGCCCAGAAAGAACUUGUGCAGAGCUGCAGUCAAAUCUCUUUUAAUGAUCUCCCAUGCCUUUUGGAAAAACAGGCCAAUAAAUCCAUCUGGCCCUGGAGCUUUGUCCGUCGGCAUCUCCUUCACCACCUCCCAAACUUCCUCCUCCAAGAACAUAAGCUCCUGGUCAUCAAGAUUGACAGGCUGAAUGCCCAACGCCUCAAGGUCAAGCGAGUGUUCCCUGGCCCCCUUUCUCCCCAGCAAAUCUCUAUAGGCAUUAUAGAAGUGCUCCUCCAAUAUAAUUUCGGAGGUUAAAGAAGGACACAGAUUUUUUGUACGCUGUAUGCUUAUUAUUAUUUUCAAACAUUCCCGGUUGUUUUGCUAGGCGAGGAGGGAAUUGUGAGAGACUAAAAGCUACCCAAAGCUAUCUUUUUUGUUUUCCCCAAACAGAACCAAGCUUCGAAUACUUUCCCUCGAACUGAGCCGCACCACCCAAAGUCCAAGAGAUGGACUGACAGAUCAAGGUAGUGGUGAUCCGCCAGGCUCGAAAUCUCCAAGAUGCAUAGGAUCAGUACGUCACGCGACGACGGGGGUUGGGACGUCGUACUGCGAGCAUGGCGUACCAGCUCCAGAGUCCAAGCGAUUGACCGACAUAUCCUCACGGUGCUACUGGUGAGCUUGCCCCAGUUGGGCACCGGCUCGAACAUGGCUAGCUAUGAUUUAUGUCACGACUCGACGGGGGUUGGGACGAUGGCUCUCAGUCUCAGAACAGUCGCGUACAGUACCAUCGUACCCACGAGGCUGCGCGGGCCAGCCGCGCCGACGCCGGCAGCGGCAGGACACACACCACAUGCGACGCCCAGCCGGUUCGUACGUAUGCAGUGCAGGGGCUCUCAACUUGGAACUUUCGGUGGCUGUCGCGUGGCGCCUCUCUAACUGACACGACGACGGUGGCAAAUUUUCGCCCGACAACGGCCGCGUCAAGCCGUCCACUGCAACGUACCGGGACGACGCACCAUCUCAAAUUGGCCUGGAUCAGUCUUGGAUGUAGAUGGUUUUUGCAAAACCGCGACCAGACUUUCCUGGGCUUUUUGCAUGUGUUGCAUUCGAAUCACUGGAAAAGGCAUUUCCUAGUGUGCUCGACUCAUAAGCUUUGUCGAAUAUGAAAUGCGGUUCAAUAAUACGUCCUUGGGGUGUGUAUGUCUCACCGAACUGCAUACUGUAUGUGCAUUGUCUUUAGGAAGACAAAAAUUAUCAAUGCUUAACGAUUAAGCAAGUAAGACAUUACCUAGGUCUAGCAUUUUUGCUGGAGAGGAAAUUCCCGACGGCGGAAACGGCAACGGAAGCAGAGCGUCGGUCUCCGUUGGGUCUGCACCAUCGAAAUCGAAGAACCCAGUAACCCACGGCAGUGCCGGUGCAGGCUGCAGAGCAGCUACUGCCGCGGGCACAGAAAGCAGCGCCCAUAUAUGCCAAUGCCACCCAUCGGUCGCCCUCGCCAAGAGAUGCACUGGGUCUGCCACUGAGCCACCAAACCAGCGCGGCCAUGGCGCCGACGUCUCCGACCUCCGCGCCUCGUCUCCUCCUCGCGCUCUCCCUCAGCCUCCUCCUCACCAGCGCGCACCAGCUGACGACGCCAUCGCCGCCCGCGCCGUCGGCCGCCGGCAUCUCGCCUGAGCUCGUGUCCACGCUGCGCGAGGCGCUGGGCGCGAUCAAGGACGUCGCAUCCAUCGUCUCCUCCUUCCCCAUCGUCGGAGGCGUCCUCGGGGGCGACGACCUCCGGCUCUCCUCCGCCAUCACGGACUGCCUCGACCUGCUCGACCUCUCCUCCGACGAGCUGUCCUGGUCCAUGUCCGCCGCUUCGCCGACGACCGCGGGCGUGGGGGCCGCAGGCCGCGUCGGCACGGGCGACGCGCACGCCGACGUCCGGGCGUGGCUCAGCGGCGCGCUCGGCAACCAAGACACCUGCAAGGACGGCCUCGACGACACCGACUCGGUGCUCGGCUCCCUCGUAUCCAUCGGCCUCCAGGCCGUCACGUCCCUGCUGGGCGACGGCCUCGGGCAGGUCGCCGCCGGCGAGGAAGCCGCGUCGUCCGUCCGCACCAGUGGCCGCCGGGGGCGCGGCCUCGGCCAGGGGGCUCCUCGCCACCCGCACUGGCUGGGCGGCAGGGAGCGCCGGCUGCUGCAGAUGCCGGUGGGUCCGGGAGGAAUGCCGGUGGACGCGGUGGUGGCGCAGGACGGGAGCGGCAACCACACGACUGUCCAGGCGGCCCUCGACGCGGCGCCGUCGGAGCGCGACGACGGCCGGUACGUCAUCUACGUGACGCGCGGCGUGUACAGGGAGACGGUGGAGGUGAAGAAGAAGAAGUGGAACGUGAUGUUGGUGGGCGACGGCAUGGGCGCCACCGUGAUCUCCGGCCGGCUGAACUACGUCGACGGCUACUCCACCUUCCGCACCGCCACCGUCGGUGAGUUGGUGCUCUGCUGCUCCAUGCAAUUCCAUCAAUCUAGCAGUCCUUCCGUUAAUUCCAGAAAAUUAAGUUGAUUGUGCGAGUUUAAGGCGUGGUCAAGGUCAAAUCGUAGCAUGCACCAUGCACUCAAUGGCUCUUGUGAUGCUUCGGAUGCAUGCGCCCCCACACACUAGACCAGCCUAUCUCUGCCAUUGCUUUGCUUAAGCCUGCACGGUCGAUCACCUGAGAUGUUAGCUCGUGACCACCUCCACGAGAUGCAUGUAGCUGGAGUGGCACGGUCAAUGUGCCAUAAUUGUACUGUCUGGACGAGAUGCUGCGGCUGCGGCAUACGGUUCCGUUAAGGCGCAUGCCGAGUUGCAGUACCGUGGUACAACUCUGCUCCAUCCUUAUCGCAAUGUCACUGUGUAGUACUCGCUCCGUUCGAAAUUACUUGUCGCAAAAAUGGAUGUAUCUACAUCUAGAUACAUCCAUUUUUGCGACAAGUAAUUUCGAACGGAGGGAGUAUUUUGGUUUUCUUUCUACAGUGGAUAUUGUUACCUGCCUAGGUCGCUUCUGGUGCAUGUACUACACGCACUGCACUCCAGCUACCCACCCAGCCAGUGUCUAAUACACCGUUCGUCUAAUCUUGGCCGUGGUGUGUGCAGUGUGCACAUUCAAGUCCUGACUCCUCCUGACACCUUCCCGGAUCGAUCACGCGCCUAGCUUGAAUAAUGUAGAACAUGCAGCAUCCAUUAAUAGAGCUAGGGGGUAGUUGCACUUGCAAUUCAGCGACGAAUUCAAUGGACGAUACCACAUGUCGCACAGGUUGGCCUUGGUUGCUUGGCUCAACGAGUCAAAGUACAUGGCCCGCUCCCAGGCUCUACGCGUGGCACACUGUUGUCCGUGAGACAGCAGGUCGUGCCGGUGGCCAUGCGGUGCGGUGCACGGCAUGAAACGUUCUCUUUGCAGCGACUCGUACUUCUUUGUACUGGCAGCGCCGCGCCGUGCUUAUACUUUUCCCAAAGGGCCAAGCUGCCGAGUGCCAACCCAAGCCACGAGACCUCGCAUCGUACUACGUUCUGUAGUCGAUCAUGGGAUGCAGAUGCAGGGGUCACGCUGCUGAGACUCAGAUGGGCACGUCGUUUUCUCCUUUUGCUUGCCGUCGGUCGCACACAGUGCCGGGGGAGAGAUCGCCGACAGACACAGCAGUGAUCGGGCUGGUGCUGCCCGAUCUUUUGCUUCUAGUCCGGGCGUCAUUCAGCUCUGUGGUGGCGUAGAAAGCUUCAGUUCCAUGCAUGGCUUUAUCAGCAGCUGAUGCUGAUCGAUGCGUGCCAAACCCUCGUCGGUCUGACAAGCACGUUAUACUAUCACAAGCUUACCACUACUACUUGUCGCACGACCGACUUGGUUAACUUCAUUGUCAGCGGAUGUUCGGAUCCAAAUGACCAAAUCAUGCGAGAUAUAUAUGCCUAUAUAUGCUUCUGACCCCCAAGAAUUACUGUUACUGAGUACUGACCUCAUUGAUCCUGUCAUUUCAUAUUCAUAGGAUAUUCAUAGCUGUGCGUGUGAAUUGUGAUUAACACCUGAUGUUUUUUUCUGGCUGACGUGGCGUUGUUCAUGCAUGCAUUGCAGCUGUGGUGGGGAAGGGGUUCAUCGCGCGAGACGUGACGUUCGAGAACACCGCGGGGCCGGCCAAGCACCAGGCGGUGGCGCUGCGGUGCGACUCAGACCUCUCUGUCUUCUACCGCUGCGCCUUCGAGGGCCACCAGGACACGCUUUACGCGCACUCGCUUCGCCAGUUCUACCGCGAUUGCAACGUCACUGGCACUGUCGACUUCGUCUUCGGCAACGCCGCCGCCGUCUUUCAAAACUGCCACCUCCUCGCCCGCGCGCCGCUGCCUGGCCAGAAGAACUCUAUCACGGCCCAGGGCCGUUUCAACGCCUCCAUGAACUCCGGCUUCACCUUCCAGUUCUGCAACGUCUCAGCACACGACGACCUCCUCCGCGCGCAGGCCAACCAGACCGACAAGGCCGCGACCACACAAACCUUCCUGGGCCGGCCGUGGAAGGCAUACUCACGGGUGGUGUUCAUGCAGUCGUACAUCGGCGCCGUGGUGCGGCCCGAGGGGUGGCUCGCGUGGGACAACAACCAGUCCACGCUCGCCACGCUCUACUACGGGGAGUACAUGAACACGGGGCCCGGCGCCAGCGUCGGCGGCAGGGUGAGGUGGCCGGGCUACCACGUGAUGAUGAGCCCCGCCGAGGCCAGCAACUUCACUGUAGCGCAGUUCAUCGAGGGCAACAUGUGGCUGCCGACCACGGGUGUCAGGUUCACGUCUGGGCUGCUUGCGUCUUGAACUCUUGAUCAUCAUGUGAGUCUGCGUGCUCUGACUCUUGAGCGGUCUAGAAGUACUGGGUGCUGUCGUUCCUCAUCACGUACUAAUAGUACUAUGGUUGGAACAAACUUUAGGGAAUUAGUCGAUGGGUUGUUAUUCUUGAAUGGGACAUAUUAAGGUUAUGAAUGGAUGAAGUGUUUUUUCUCCUUUGAUCAGUACGUAUGAUCUUUACCUACAACGGUUCUUCCUGUAGAAGCAAAUAGUUCUCUAUCUCGACCUUGCGCCUGUGUUCACAUUCAUCUCUCACCGCCUUGCCACUUUUCCUUUUUGCUUCCUUCUCUGCGAAGUCUAACUUGGCUUGCAUGGCUUCCACCACCAAGCCCUUUGUUGUGAUCACCUCAUCGACUUGAUGCGGCUUCUCAUUCUAUUGUGAGCAUAUCCUUUGUCCUAUUUCUUCCAUCGAGCCGCCCCUUGCUUGACCCUUCCUAGGCCUCCUCUCACCCUUAUCACCAUCUUCAACCUCCCAAGAAGACGAGUUACUUGACAUCUCGCUUUCUUCGAUGGAGCAUCAUCACUCCUUGUCUUCUUCUCGUUGUGCUCAAGCAAGUUUCAAAAUGUCGAAACACACAAUACUUGCCCUUUGACUUUCUCAGUUGUUUGUACCUCUUUUGAACAAUCCCAUCGUAAAACAUACAAUUGGAAGCUGAGCAACAUUGUUCAAAUACAUAUAAGGCUCGGUCAAUAUUUCCAAUGUUCACAGACAUGACAAACACUCACAUAUUCAUCAUUGUGGCACCACUAGGAGGCACAUCCCCACUAGGAGGCACAUCCCCACUUCCUCCAAACAACCCGUUCAUCGAUUGCAAGCCUAAAAAAAUGAUGCUCCGAUGACUUGUGAGGGACUUGAGUGAGCGUUGGGGCGUUCCCUUCACAAAUUUGUUGUAGUUUCCUCCUCGACAUGUUUCAGAUACUUUACACCGAUAUGAUCAUUCCUGUGACCACAUCAAAUAUGAUGCUCUCCAAUGCUCGGACCAAGGUAUAUCUUCAUCACUCGUGUAGUUUGCUUGCCUUGACCUCUUCUUGAGGCUUGAGAAGUAUCAAAUUGGUCCAUGUGCAUCUCUCUCCUCCUCCUCCUCCUCUCUCUCUCUCUCUCUCUCUCCUCUCAUCAUAUCCAGGGCCGGUCCUGAGAUUUUGGGGGCCCGGGGCGAAACUAAAACUCGGGGCCCUUGAUAUAGACAUCGUAAUAAUAAUAUGAAUAUAUGUAUACAUGAAAUAUUUAUCAGUAACACUUAAAUGCAUAUAAAAUCAGUAUGCACGUCAAAUGAUUUAUGUAUAUAGUACCUUAAGAGUUUCUUCUAGCAUACCUCGAUGCGAAGUCACUUAUGAUGGGGUUGAUGUCAAUGUCAUCCACUGAUUUCUUCUCCAUGCAUAUAAUGAGCCAAACCAGUUAAUCUCUCUAGAGUCAUUGUUGACCUCAAUAAACUCUUCAAUAAUUUCAACUUCGAAAAGCUUCUUUCGGUCGAUGCAUUCCAUCUUCUUAAUAAACUAAUCAUUAUCUAUCAUGUUCCUUUCCAUUGCUUCAUUUCCUAUGAUAAUGAGCACAUGAAAAAUGUCUUCAUACACCAUCUACACGGUAUUCCAGUUCUCCCUCUCUCAUAGGCCCUUUCUCAACUAAGAUAUAUCUUGCUUUAUUAUGAAGAUUGUCCCAAUUUCCUAGAUCAUUAGUAUCGGGAGUAUAAACUAGAUAUUCAUCAACAGUAUGAUGUUGUGUUUGCGCAUGUGAUGAAUUACGUACAUUCUCAGAGCCACUUACAUUGUUGUUGCCGAUGUUGGUGUCGACAUUUUCUUCUUACUGAUCUGAUUCUGAAUCCCCAUUAGUUGGUUGAUCUUCCUCUUUCUCUAUGGCAACCAUCACCAACUCAUCAUCUUGGUUUAUCGAAGCAAUGGGAGCACUAGUAUUACUCUUAAGAAAUUUGUGAAUAUAUCUCCGUGCUGUGAUUGUACCAAUUUAUCAACAACUUUCUUUAUUUUUCUUUUAUCACUAGCCGAUGGAUAAGUCCUGUUUCUGGGCGGCAUGAUUAUCAGUUGUAACACACAAUGCUGGAAAAAGAAAUGGUUGCGUCAGUUGCUAAAUGGUGCCGGCUAUGCAUCAAGGGACGGUGAUACAUAAUAUACAUUUGUGAUAUACCUGAUGGUCAACUCUGUGAUGACUGAUGAGUGUCAGUGCGUAUGCCUAUAAAGAACCUGAAGGCUAGAGCGGGAGAGCAAUUCAGUUGGAGCCACCGGGAAUUGUAAUCAGCAGCUCCGGCGAACUGGAUUAGGAAGGAAUUACUAGCAGCAGUAUGGGCGCAGCAGUACGGCGGCGGCGGCUAGGGCUGGGACAGGUAAUCGCUGCGAGAUGGAAAUCGUGGAAUAGAAAGGGAUCGUGAUCGCUCAUUUUUUUUAGGUGAAAGGGGUCGAGCCGGAAUCGAUCGCUAGGUGGAUUCAGGCUAUCGGCCUGCUGCUACUCCUUGCGCGAGCGCGCCUGCCAUCAAGAAAGCCCAUCGCCCUGGCCCCUUUGAACUUUUUUGGGACAUAGGCCAUAGCCUGCCUACGUACCUGGGUGGGGGCCCCUUGAUUUUGGCGGCCCGGGGNNNNNNNNNNNNNNNNNNNNNNNNNNNNNNNNNNNNNNNNNNNNNNNNNNNNNNNNNNNNNNNNNNNNNNNNNNNNNNNNNNNNNNNNNNNNNNNNNNNNNNNNNNNNNNNNNNNNNNNNNNNNNNNNNNNNNNNNNNNNNNNNNNNNNNNNNNNNNNNNNNNNNNNNNNNNNNNNNNNNNNNNNNNNNNNNNNNNNNNNNNNNNNNNNNNNNNNNNNNNNNNNNNNNNNNNNNNNNNNNNNNNNNNNNNNNNNNNNNNNNNNNNNNNNNNNNNNNNNNNNNNNNNNNNNNNNNNNNNNNNNNNNNNNNNNNNNNNNNNNNNNNNNNNNNNNNNNNNNNNNNNNNNNNNNNNNNNNNNNNNNNNNNCCCUUGAAAUGUGAAAGAGGCAAGUCAAGCGAUAUAGCCCAGUCAAGAUCCGCCAAGUCCUCAAACCCACCUAAAUCUUCCAUCAUGCUCAAGUGGUCGCCGACCUAUUCUCAAAAUUGAAAGCUGCAUCACGGUAUGAGAAGCACACUUGGAUUCACAUUCUCAGUUGAACCGAACAAAUCAAAACAAACAAGGGGGGAAAUUUCUUACCUUGUCGUCGUUCCAUCGAACACCUAGUGGCAGCUCGGGUUGAUCACCAUAAUGGAGGUUGUCAAGUAGACCAGAGAGGCAUUGAGAGGACCGGCAUCAGCCAGAGGGGAGAAUGGAGCAGACACAAAGGCUGCCGCGACCAACGUCUCCUUCCUGUUCUUGUUUUUCAUAUUUUCCACUGGCAACGAGUGGUGCCACCCUUGGGUAUUGGCGCCUUAGGGGGGAGCCUGGAUGGCGCUUGGUCAAUGUGAGUUGCGGGGCUACCACUCAGCGUUACGCUCGCAUCGAUGCUACCGAAAAGACAACUAGGUGCUGCCCUAGGCGGCGAGACUGCACGGUGGAUAUGGCUGCAGGUGCGGGACCUCGAAUCAAGAAUGGAAUGCAAACACCGGUCACGAUAGGGUUCAUGGCAUCGUUGGGCGGACCGCUUUAGUGAAUCUGUUAGAGUGGAUUUUUGACCCCUUAACCUUUAUGUUGACGUUCCUUUUUUUGUAAAGGAAUGACGUUUUAGAGAAUAUGCUAGAGUUUCUCUAAGACAUUUUGACCCCAAAAUACAGAUGGUAAACCAAUAUGCUAAUGAUUCAGUGGAAAUAUUUUUGUAAAUACCUUAUAUACACUAGAUUUUUCUCUUUGCUAACACCUAAUUAUAAACUAGAAUUAAUUACCAAGAUAUUUCUGACAUGCACUUUAAGGAUAUCAUGCAAGCGUCGGAAAUUAAUCCAUAAAGACAAACCAAUUUUCUUCUCCAGUUUAAGAAAAAAAGGUUUAGACAUAUUUUAAAGGCACGGUGCAUUGAAAAUAAAAACUAAUGUAAUCUAUUAAUGCAUUUAUUAUGUAAAAGAAUGUGUACAUAUUAUAAUGAUUUGGCGAAUUGGCUUGUAAAAGGUGUAAAAGUUUAGUAUAAAAUACAAUAUAGGCUUGGGCUUUGUGAUGAUGUCGUGCAUGCAUGCAUUGCAGCGGUGGUGCGCAAGGGGUUCAUCGCGCGCGACGUGACAUUCGAGAACACGCCAGGGCCGGCCAAGCACCAGGCGGUGGCGCUGCGGUGCGACUAGGGCAUGUCAUUCUUAUACCAUCGCACCUUCGAGGGCCACCAGGACACGAUGUACGUGCACUCGCUUCGCCAGUUCUACCGCAGCUGCCGCGCCGCUGCCACCGUCGACUUCGUCUUUGGCAUGGCCGCCGCCGUUUUCCAGAACUGCCUCCUCCUCGUCCACACGCCGCUCCCGGGCCAGAAGAGCUCCAUCAUGGCCUAGGGCCGCUUCAACACCUCGAUGGACUCCGGCUUCGCCGUUCUCCAUGGACGACGACCUCCUUCAAGCCAACAUGGCCAACCAGACCAACAAGGUCGUCGGCAUGCAAACCUUCUUGGGGCGGCCGUGGAAGGCGUAUUCGCGGGUGGUGUUCAUGCAGUCCUACAUCGGCGUUGUGGUGUGACCCGAGGGGCGGCUCGCGUGGGAUAACAACCAGUCCAUGGUCGACACACUCUACUGCAUGGAGUACAUGAACAUGGGGCCCGACGCUGGCAUCGGCGGCAAGGUGAGGUGGCCUGGCAACCAUGUAACAAUGAGCCAGGCCGAGGCCAACAACUUCAUUAUGGCACAGGUCAUCGAGGGCAACAUUGUUGGGAAACAUAGUAGAAAACAAAAAAAAAUGUCUCAACUCACUGAACUACUCCAUAGUUUCUUCCUUCCCGCCAAAGUAGAUAAAAAACAGGGCAAUAAGAUCAAUGACUUUGAUCAGUUAUACAAAACAUUAAGCAAUUACCAGAUAAACCAAUAAACAAACAUGACAUCUAUCGUUGGCAAAUUGAGCACCAAAUGACAUGAUUGACCAAGAUUUCGACAAGCUAUUGAACAUUAACAUUUUCGUUAUUCGCUACUGACCAUUGCACUUAUCUUGGAACUAAGUAAAAAGAAUAAAUCACCGAAAAGAACCACUACUAGACUUGAAAUUUGUUUAACGGCAAAUGCACAUUACUGUUGUUUAAUAAAAUGUGAGCAUACUAGCUUAUUAUACUAGAGAUGAUACCCGCGCGUUGCAGCAGGAAUUGGAUGGAGUAAUUUCUAUGAGAAUAGACGGUAUGAAACUUUAGUAUUUUUAUUAGCGAUAUGGGAAUUGAAACUCAAGCACAUAUAUAAUGUAAUAUAUUUGAUUAUUAUAUAGUUAUGAGAGUGGCGUUUUGGUGGCCGAGCACCCUGCAGGCCGCAAUCUCCCGCCGUGGAGUAUAGCGCUGCGAUGUGUGCAUGGCUUUUUAAUCAAAGGUAUACGAUAGCUGUUAGAUUGAAAUACAUGCGUGUCGUGGGGUGGUGUGCUAGCGUUAUACGUGGGCCUCGGGUGCACACUGCAUAAUCAAGCACCUCUUGUCCUUGCUGGGCUGGUUUAAAAAUAGCACAUAUAGCUGGUGGCAGUUAUGGGCUGGUGCGACAUUAAUUCCGGGCCUAUGUGGCGCUGCAGCUAAUUAACCCCAGAAGCGGUGAUGUUUCUUUCCCUGGUCAGUUUAUUCAUCCCCUUCCCGUGGACCGUGGUAGCUAUGCGGCGCGGCGAUUCACCAUGGAUGGCCUCGACUUCUUAUAGGAAGCAGAAUCAGGGUAAAUACAAUGUGCAGGUUGAUUGUGAUGGUCGAGUCAAGACUUUGAUGUGGACAAUUGGGGGAAGCAUCGAGCAGUUUAAGUGUUUUGGCGAUGCUGUCACGUUGGAUACCACAUACAAAACUAAUCUAUAUGACAUGCCAUUUGGUCUCUUCGUUGGUGUCAACAAUCUCUUCCAAAGCAUUAUUUUUGGAGGUGUGCUGAUGUGCGAUAAGAAAAUCGACACCUUCAAGUGGAUAUUUACAGAGUUCUUCCAUAUGAUAGGAGCUCCACAGCCGCGCACAAUCCUCACAGGUAUUAAAAAAUGUUAUCGAGUGUUGAUCUUCUUUUUAAGCAUGAUGUAGAAAGGCUUUCCUCCUGGUAUGUGUUGACAAAAAGCUGUUGGUUUUAGACCAAGCUCGUGCAAUGGAGGUUGCCAUAGAAGAUGUCAUGCCACAUACAACACAUCGGUGGUGCAAAUGGCAUGUGUUGAAGAAAGCAAAAGAGUGUCUUGGGACACUGCUAGGCAAGGGUAGUGAGUUCAAACAGGAGUUCAACAAGAUGGUGCAUCACAUGGUUAGUGAGAAAUAAUUUGAGGAUGGUCGGGCAUGUAUGGUUGAGAAGCAUUGUCUACAAAAAAAAUAUGCAUUUCUCACCCAAAUAUGAGACCCGGAUGAAAUGGGCUAAAACUUUACUUCAUGGAUGCUUUUUGCGCCAAUAUAACCGGCACACAGCAUAGUGAAAGUGCAAACCAUUUGACCUGCACCAACACACACAAGGCUGAUUUCUAUGGUUGAUUUUAUUUGUUUUCUAUGCUUGAAACAUGACAGUUUCAUGUAACCGUGCUUAUGUGGAUGUCAGACUGCUAAUGACUACUCCACAUAUUAGUGAAUCUCUAUAUUUGUAGUAUCAUUUGUUGUCGGAGAAUUGCUUGGAAACGAUGUGUGUUUGGUGUAAAAAUCACUUGUUUGAUCCUUUUCGCUCAAGCUGUGUUGCUUUGAUUGGUCUACCAUUUAGGAUGAGCGGUCUCCACCUAAUGUUGGUCUCCACCCGAACCUCGCCGCAUUCCAGGCACAUGAUGAGUGGCAGGUGCUGUCGCCUUUCCCUGGAAUGAACUGAGGAUGAAGAUGAAGCCAUGUCGUUUUUGUUUGAGCUGGGUGCGGCAACCAUAGAGAGCCAACUCCUAUAAGUAGCCAUGAGACCAAGGCAACGGCAGGACCUCAACGGUCGACCCAAACGGCUCCCUGCCCAUCUACCAAGCGCACAUGUUGACGGAGUCAAAUCCGUGCCAUGCAGCGUGACCGCGACAUGCAGCUGUGCUGCACUCAUGUGCCUGCUAAAGUAUGUGAGCCCGCACGGUUUAUUUGGUAGCAAAUACGGGGCUGUGCAGCCGACUCUCCUAUAAAUACAGUAAAAAUACGGUAGCAUCAUACUCGCGUGGCACCGAUCGCAACGAGCACCGACGGGGCUGAUUCCGGCCUGCAAGGUGCUCGGCCACCAAAGGCCAUUUUCGUAUAGUUAUAGCAAAUUUAUUUAAUAUAAGUAUAACAUGCAUGCAAAAUUACAUUGGAGCACACGGCGACUACACCCAUUGAAAUCUUCUUCAUUUAUUUGCCUCGGGAUUCACACUGCUAUAUAGAUAGUACUCCCUCCGUCCCAAAAUACUUGUCGGAAAAAUGCAUAAAAAUGAAUAUAUCUAGAACUAAAAUACAUCUAGAUACAUUCAUUCCUCCGACAAGUAUUUUCGGACGGAGGGAGUAUGUAUAAGGAGAUUAUGAUUCAUGUAUCUCUCAUAUAAUAUAGGCCUGUAUUUGGUGUCCUUUUCGGCCUGACUUUGUUAGUGAGGUGCAGUCGUGCAGACCACACCACACGCGAGGACCUCAACCACCAGCUCCCAACAACCUAAUUAAUGCACUGACUUUCACACGAAGUCAUCUUAUCAGGGACGCCCUUCUCCACCAUAACUGGCACCGCUCAUGUUCUUCUUCCUCUCUCUACUUUUUUGUUUCUUCUUUGCGCUCAUCAUCUUCUCCUUUGGCAACAUGCACAUGGGGAAAACCAGGAGGAACAAGGAAGGCAACAUGGACAUGAGGAAAAACCAGGAGGAACAAGGAAGGCUAUGUGGCCGACGGGGAACAAUGUUGUGGCCGAUGGGGAAAACGUUGAGGAUGAACAAGGUAGCCGUCCGAGCUUGCCGCAUCCCGUGCAAACACGGCCACAACGACAUGGUGUCCGCCCUAGCUGCUGAAACCAAGUCCCAAUUUCCCGCGGUAAGUGAGAAAUGUCUAGGAAGAAAGCCAGGCGGAUGACUACGCCAUUGACAACGAGCAAAUUAUGCAACCAUCGUCCAAGCUCGUUGUGUCCUGCACAAGCCCCAUGGCUGUGGCCAUCGACAUCGCGCCUGCCCUGGAUUUAUUGUCAUAUGCAGUAUACUUCUUGUACUCGCGUGUUAUGGUGGAGAAGGGCGUCCCUGAUAAGAUGAAAGCAAACUUAAACAUCAUUAACUGCGUUCCAUCCCCAGACAAUAUUGGACGUGUAGAUUACAGGGAGUGGAGCCUCCGUGUGCUCCUCGUCCGCUUCCGCUUUAAGGUGGGCCUUUUCUCAUGCAUAGUGGCAUAAUGAGUUGGCAUAGUUGCAUGUUGAGAGAAUUAAAUCUAGUGGGCAUGCAUGAUGCAUAGUCACAUGGGAAGGUAAUUGAGUUAGUGUGGAUCAACUAUUUACGUAUAUAAGAUUCAGUAUGAACUAAAAAAUAACCACUAACAUUCAUCACAAAACAAUGACCAAUGUACUAUAUCCAGUAUGAACUCACUAAACAGCUGACCAAUCAACUAAUUAACCACAUGGAAACAUUCAACACAUAGCACUAAUUAAGCACAUGUUUGCAAAUCUAAUGUUCCAACUAAACAUUGAGCAUGGUACAUAUCCCAACUAAUUAAUCACUACAUGACUGCAAAUCCAAUUACCACAUGAUUGCAAACAUGCCACCUAUGCACAGUGCAUAUCCCAACUCACUAAACAAUGUCGUACAUGGUAGCAGGGAUCUGUACGAGCAAAGAACAACCAAAUAUUUGGAAGAACAAUUCAGAUCGAGCUCCUUGUAUUAAUCCCCAACUCACAAACCCUAGCCCUAGCAAACUCACCUUGAUGAUGUUGUCAGAGGAGGAGACGUACUGGAUGGAAUCCUCAUUGGUUUCGCCGUCAUUCUAGGACACCAUAGCGUGGCGGGGCAGUGGCCGGCGGUCGGCGCGACAACAACGACGAAGAACAGAGACAAGAGUGCGAGAGGGAGAGAGUGCGAGCGAGAAGAAAGAGUGGGGAGGGAUUUGACCAGUACCGGCAAAACGGCUUUGGCCGUCUCCUCUAAUGACGGCUUGUGUGAACAAUUACAUCACGUUAGCUUUUUCGGGACCCACAUGCUAUAAUCGUUAUCAAAUGGACAAAGCUAUCAACCAUUAUUUCUUUCUUGAGUAGUUUUAAGUUAACAUGCUCCUUUUUAUUUUAUUUUCACAUAUAAAAGGUAAAAGUAUAUAAUAGAUCUAACUGUUGACCUUAUUAAUUAGUGGUCUGAUUAACUCUAUCUUUUUACCUUGUAAAAAAAGGAGGUAAGAGAAAAACAUGUAAAAAUUUGCUUUCUUGUACUCCCGAUCUAAACGCUCUUAUAUUAGUUUACAGAGGAAGUAAAAGAUUAGUCCAAGAAUUAGUGGUGUUUGUGCCAAACCUGCAAACCCACGUAGCGCACAAACCUAGCCCAUAAUGUGGUGAAUUUUUGUAAUUAACUCACGUUUAACUCUCUUUAAACAUUGUCAAUAAACAUUUUCAAAUUAUGCAAUGUACAAUUGCCACAUGGACAAAACUUACAAUCAUUAGUAGAGUGCCCAUGCGUUGCCAUGGGCUUUUGAAUAUAUUGCUGGAAUUAUAUAAACAUAAUACAUGUUAAAUUUCACGUGAAGAGAAUAGAUAGCACAUGCAAAAUCAGCUAAUAAUUAAAGUCAACUUCACUUGCAACGUAAAUUGAUAACAAAAAAAGGCAAUCUGAUGAGUUAUACAUAUAGAGAGAUUAUCUAACUAAAACCAAUUACAAAUUAAGAUCCAUUUGAUGCGCUUAAGAAAUUCUUGCACAAUAUUAAGAAUAUUGACUUUAGCUCCAUUCGCAUGAAAUUUGAACAAGUAUAACUAAAAAACCCUUCCUCAACUCAUACCCAACCCGCACAAGCAAUAUAUGUAAUUAGCACGAAGAAUUCACGUCGAAGGUCUUAAAAUGUGUAAUGGAGAAUACUCAUUGGGCAAAGUGGAUGAACUAAUUCUUCACCGUUCCACCAAAGCAUAAAAUAAUAUAAAUAGUCACACACAUCCCUACAAUUUUCGAAAUUAAUAUUAUUUUGAAUGUUAAGAUAAUUCAAUAUAUAAAUUUAUUGUUCGUCUAUGCUCAUUGGAAUACCAAGCAGAAAUUAGCAUGUCCACAUUUUGGUAGUUGACAGGUUAGUCUGCUGGGGUGAACGUUUGACAUGGGCCAGGUGAUAGUUGUUGGUGCGCUAGGUUCCUCAAAAAUAAAUUAGCAUGUCCACAUUUUGGUAGUUCUAUUAUUCAUGAAUGCAAUCUUUGAUUAACCCUUUUUUAGAAAUCACGUAAGAGGGAUUUCCACCACAUACCCAAACACUUGUUUUCAUUUUCAAUGCUCAAACGUGAAAACAAUGGAGCACAUGUCCAGUUCUACCGUCAGAGUAAGUGUCAAGUAUAAUCCUUGGGCAGGAAUUUACUAAAGCUAGUGCUUAACCUAACAUUAAUAGCUUGAUAGAGAUUUGCCUCAAAACCUCCAUGGCCAAUGAACUGCAUAGUCCAACAGAACAACUUUGCUACCAAUCCCACCUAGGAGAAAAAACAAUAAUUUAUGAUCAAUCAAUUUAUGUUAUGUGAUCUUUUUUAUUUGUUAUUCCCUCCAUUUCUAAAAAUAACCCUUUUUCGAUAUUUCAAUGCGGACUACAUACGGAUGGAUAUAGACAAAUUUUAGAGUGUAGAUUCACUCAUUUUGCUCCAUAUAUACUCUAUAUUGAAAUCUCUAAGAAGGCAUAUAUUUAGGAACAGAAGGAGUACAAAGCAUCUUCAACAUCACAAACUGAAGGCUUAUAUUUAGGAACGGAGGGAGUACAAUUGACAAUCAACAGCACAAACUAUGCUCCAUCCUACAUCCUAAAAGCAAAUGAAUGAAAAAUUUCAGGGAGUUAGAGCAACUGCAACACACCGACCCAUUUCGUCUGUUUGUGUCCGUGCAGACGAAAAAGUUGGCCCAAUGCAGUCAUCGCCGCCGCAACGCCAUCGCCUCCGCUCCCCCGUGCACGCAGGAACAACAGAUGCAUGAGCAACAUCUGUAGUCACCGCUGUCGCGCAAGCAGGAACAACAGCAGCCAGUCACCGCAGCAGCAGUUGCAGUCGCCGCCGCCGUGCUCGCCCACCGCGACGGCCGUCGCGCAGUUCUGCCGCUGCGCUCUGGCUCCAUGGAUCCCAAACUGGACCUCGCGAGCACCGUGACAGGCAGCGCCCGCCCGUGACAAGGAGUCCCUCGCGAGCUCCACGACGGAUAGUGCCAGGCCACAACAUCCCUCCGCGGGCAUGUGCUCCUCGUCGACGCAGGUGACAGCUGCGCCUGCCUGGUGCUCGCGAGCCGCCUCCCACGCCCGGUCGCCCACCUCCGCGCCCCCGUGCACGCAUGAACAACAGAUGUGUGAGCAGCAUCUACAGUCACCGCUGCCGCGCAAGCGGGAACAACAAUUGUUGAAGUAUAAAAACAGAUGCACCACAUCACAUAAGCAUGUCCGUGGUCAUAGCAUAACACAGUAGCAUUGCGCAACACCAUAUCCAAACCAUUCGCGCAUCCAGAAGUUAGAAAAUCUCACCCACAAAAAUGAAAUAUUAGUGGCACACAGUGGGAGAACAAACCUUCCGGCGCUUGAAUGUACACAUAUUGCAGAAACACACAUGUGGAGAAAGAAGAAAAAAACUUGUAUAAUCAAAAAACUGGUAAAAGCUAAUUAUAUAUCCCCAUGAGCAAAACGAACUGAUAAACGACUAAAAACCACCUGUUACAGUUUUUAGGUUUCUUGUGAAACCUUCUGACAGUGGUUUAAUAAAAAAAAAAUAGUUCCAAAUAGAAACUUUGAAAAAGAGUAAUGCAUAUUGAUCAUCCCAAAGGGUACAGUGCAGAGAAGCAAGAAAAAACACAUGGAUAAAGUGAACUGCUUUGGUUUCCGAAACAAAGCAAAAAUGUACAAACAAACCUACAAAAUUUGACUUCCAUGAAGGCUACAAGACUACAUGGAGAAAAUCCAUCGUCCUACAAAAGCACUAUAACUAUUUUUGCCCCCACUCUAACCUAUCAUGAAUUUAUUUUCAAGCAACAUUUCGUCACAAACCAAUCUAACAAUUCUUACCAUAUCAAUAAAUUCCUGGUGAAACUAAAUAGGAGAGUACUUAACAGUUCAUUUCACGUCCAUCCGCAAACAUUCCUUUCUAGCAUGCACGUGAAGAAGGUAUUAAAUCUUUCAUACAAUCACCACAAUCUACAUUGGCUAGAAACAAUAAAAACGAUUGGUGCCGGUAGAAAUAAUGAGUUGGCCAAGCUGCGUGCCCGUUGCUGUGAUACUGACUUCUCAAAAUAAGGAAUCCUCCAACAGUGAUAAAAAGUAGAGUAAUCUCCUCAACUAAAGAAGGCAAGGGAUGAGACUGACAUUUUUCUGUAAUUGGCUUUUAGUUAUAUGUAUGAUAAAAAGAAAGGAACAAAGAACACAAUAAAAGUGGCUACAAAUAUAUAAGUAUAAAAAUGUGCAACUACAGAAAUACCAAUUAUCUAACAAAAGUACAAUGAUACUUUCCCGAGAUGAUUGUCGAUUGAUACAGUGAUCUAAUCCUCUAAUUACCAACUUGACAACUAACCUAAUGUCUACAGACACAAAGCAAAUACUCUUGGAAAAAAAUCAACACACAGAAAAAUACAUAUGUUCCUGGACCAUUCAAAGUGUACAUGAAAGCCAUACAUAUGAGUGGACUCCCACGUCCAUAUGCAAAUUUUCAAGCCUAAGAUGUGGCUGUACCUGCUUUGGUCAGUUUGACAGCCCCAGCUUCAUUAGUCUUUGGAUCAGUCUAGGAAAGGCAUCUGGGUGAUUGGUUCCUAUAAAUAAAUUGGACAAUAUAAAUUUAAACAAUUUGGCUUACCCAUAAAUCUAACAAAUCUAAGCUGGAGCUGCAAGCUAUGCUGAGACAACCAAAAGUUUAAAGAUAAACUAAUGAAGAAAAAGUAACCACUUGAAAAGGAAAAGAAAUAGGAACAAAAACGAUGUCGCUCUACUAUCGUCUCUCCCAACUCCAUUCCCCUAGCUUGCCCUCUCACCUCCCUGCAUAUCAACCAAAAUAUCUGAUCGAGACCAGACAAAAGCAAUGGUGGGAGAGUGAUGUGAGCUGGGCCAAUGCUCCCAAGAGAAGAGUGUGUCAGUGAUGGGCGUCGUCUAGUCGAUGCCAGUGGUGAUACCUAGGGUGUUCUAUGUAACAAGUUCACUGCACAUUUUUUUUGUCUAAAGCAACACAUAUAUGUGGAAAUCAUGUAAGAAUAAUUAAACUAUUAUAAACAUAUGUAUUUUACAACUUUGAGUUAGUGUCAUAAACAUAUUGAAUGGGACUGUUGUAAACCUAUCGAAAUUGAAGAAAGAGUAACAAGAUGUGUUAGCAUUACCUUGCAGUUGGACCACCAUAUCCGAGCACAUCCUUUGACUGCCCAGCAAAGGUCCUCCCUCUCGCUCAAACAGGAGGCACACACCCAGCUAGCAGGCUGUUUCGCAUACACGCUGAUAAUUUUGCCUUGGUUGUAGGCAAGUAGGCUGGUAUAUUCAGCUAUCAUCAGGAACUCCUCUUCACAACUGUAUUUUGGCGGAAAAAAAUCUACUGAGACCAGAUGCAUAAUCAUGGAGCUAGCUCAGUUUUCAAGGCAUAAGAUGGGUAAGCUAUCCCAAAAAAUGAACAACCAUCAUGCAUAUCCAUAUGGGAAGGGAGUAUUAAUUACUAACCUUGAAGAACUUUCUUUUUGGAGAAAAUUACUGUGACGCCCCCGAUUUAAUCGUACACUAAUCAUGCACGCAAAUGUGUACGAUCAAGAUCAGGGACUCACGGGAAGAUAUCACAACACAACUCUAAAACAUAAAUAAGUCAUACAAGCAACAUAAUACAAGCCAGGGGCCUCGAGGGCUCGAAUACAAGUGCUCGAUCAUAGACGAGUCAGCGGAAGCAACAAUAUCUGAGUACAAACAUAAGUUAAACAAGUUUGCCUUAAGAAGGCUAGCACAAACUGGGAUAUAGAUCGAAAGAGGCGCAGGCCUCCUGCCUGAGAUCCUCCUAACUACUCCUGGUCAUUGUCAACGGGCUGCACGUAGUAGUAGGCACCUCCGGUGUAGUAGGGGUCGUCGUCGACGGUGGCGUCUGGCUCCUGGACUCCAGCAUUUGGUUGCGACAACCAGAAAGAAAGGAAAGGGGGGAAAAGGGGGGAGAAAGCAACCGUGAGUACUCAUCUAAAGUACUCGCAAGCAAGGAACUACACUACAUAUGCAUGGGUAUAUGUGUAAGGAGGCCAUAUCAGUGGACUGAACUGCAGAAUGCCAGAAUAAGAGGGGGAUAGCUAGUCCUAUCGAAGACUACGCUUCUGGCAGCCUCCAUCUUGCAGCAUGUAGAAGAGAGUAGAUUGAAGUCCUCCAAGUAGCAUCUCCAAGUAGCAUCUCCAGUAGCAUCGCAUAGCAUAAUCCUAUCCGUCGAUCCUCUCCUUGUCGCCCUGUUAGAGAGCGAUCACCGGGUUGUAUCUGGCACUUGGAAGGGUGUGUUUUAUUAAGUAUCCGGUUCUAGUUGUCAUAAGGUCAAGGUACAACUCCAAGUCGUCCUGUUACCGAAGAUCACGGCUAUUCGAAUAGAUUAACUUCCCUGCAGGGGUGCACCACAUAACCCAACACGCUCGAUCCCAUUUGGCCGGACACACUUUCCUGGGUCAUGCCCGGCCGUGGAAGAUCAACACGUCGCAGCCCCACCUAGGCACAACAGAGAGGCCAGCACGCCGGUCUAAACCUAAGCGCACAGGGGUCUGGGCCCAUCGCCCUUAGCACACCUGCACGUUGCGAGGGUGGCCAAAAGGAGAACUAGCCCCCUUAAUACAAGAGCAUGCUUACAUUCCAAUCCGGCGCGCGCCGCUCAGUCGCUGGCGUCACGAAGGCUUCGGCUGAUACCACGACGUCGGGAUACCCAUAACUACUCUCGCGUAGAUGGUUAGUGCGUAUAGACCAAAUGGCCAGACUCAGAUCAAAUACCAAGAUCUCGUUAAGCGUGUUAAGUAUCCGCGAACGCCGACCAGGGCCAGGCCCACCUCUCUCCUAGGUGGUCUCAACCUGCCCUGUCGCUCCGCCACAAAGUAACAGUCGGGGGCCAUCAGGAACCCAGGCCCACCUCUACCGAGAUGGAGCCACCUGUCCUUUCAGCCCCCUUAUCCGAAUCACUUGCGGGUACUCAACGAGCUGACCCGACUUUAGUCACCAUCUGUAGUAUGUAUAUAUGUAUAGUAUAUACCCGUGAUCACCUCCCGAGUGAUCACGGCCCAAUAGUAUAGCAAGGCAGACUGACAAGAAUGUAGGGCCAAUGAUGAUAAACUAGCAUCCUAUACUAAGCAUUUAGGAUUGCGGGUAAGGUAUCAAUGACUGUAGCAACAAUGACAGGCUAUGCAUCAGAAUAGGAUUAACGGAAAGCAGUAACAUGCUACACUAUUCUAAUGCAAGCAGUAUAGAGAAGAAUAGGNNNNNNNNNNNNNNNNNNNNNNNNNNNNNNNNNNNNNNNNNNNNNNNNNNNNNNNNNNNNNNNNNNNNNNNNNNNNNNNNNNNNNNNNNNNNNNNNNNNNNNNNNNNNNNNNNNNNNNNNNNNNNNNNNNNNNNNNNNNNNNNNNNNNNNNNNNNNNNNNNNNNNNNNNNNNNNNNNNNNNNNNNNNNNNNNNNNNNNNNNNNNNNNNNNNNNNNNNNNNNNNNNNNNNNNNNNNNNNNNNNNNNNNNNNNNNNNNNNNNNNNNNNNNNNNNNNNNNNNNNNNNNNNNNNNNNNNNNNNNNNNNNNNNNNNNNNNNNNNNNNNNNNNNNNNNNNNNNNNNNNNNNNNNNNNNNNNNNNNNNNNNNNNNNACAAGAAGGAGGGGGCGUCAACACCGUAGUCGAUCGGGGUACCAGCAGCAGCAUCAGCCUCGUAGUCUACCGAAGAGAAGAGGGGAAAGAAACAAUAAAUACAAUGCAACAUAAGCAUGAUGAUGCGUGACAAAGCAAACGGCGGUGUUAGGUGACCCUCACGCGGUAUUAGGUGAUACCGGCGAAGGGGAAAAAACAUCCGGGAAAGUAUCCCCAGUGUUUCGCGUUUCGGGCAGAGGAGCCGGAGGGGGAAAGUUGCGAGUUUGAUAUGAUAAGGGUGUGUGGCGGACGAACGGGUUGCGUAUCCGGAUUCGUCUCAUCGUUCUGAGCAACUUUCAUGUAUAAAACUUUUUCAUUCAAGCUACGGAUUAUUUUAUAUUGAUUUUCAAAGCUUUAAGCAAUAUCCUAAAAAUCCCUGAAAUUCUACUAAGUCUGAGAUUUCGUCAGUUUUAAACAUCACUUUGCUGUUUUCAAAACGCUACAACUAUUGUUCUGUACAUCCUCUGUUUUUGUGCUUUAUACCAAUUUUGAGCAUUUUUCUAUGAUCUACAAGAUAGUAGCACUUGCAUCUCUGUUAGAGUGCAUUUGCUUGAUCAUCAACAGCUCUAAAGUAGCUAUGAAAUUAAAGCCAUUUUCGGCUUUUCUAUUAACAGAACAUUGAACUUUGUGAUUUUCGUAUGAUUUAAUCCAGGCAUCUAACGGAUUAGGUCCAAUGAAAACAUUUGAGCCUUGUCAAGUGUACUAUCUUCCCAUAAUAUUUUUGCUCCUGUUAAAAGUCAUUUAGUCGAUGUUUAGGGGCUGUUCAGAGGGUUAAACAGUGUAGAAUUAGAAAAGCUAGCUCGCAUCAGCUACAGUAACUAGCAGCAUUACAACGGCAGCAACAGAGUAGCAGAGGCCGGGUGCUUGCGGGCGCGGCGGUUGUGAGCAGGCGCCGGGCGGCAGUGGGUGCGGGCACGCGCGUACGCGCAGCCGGGCGCAACCGGUCGUGGCCAGAGGCCAGCGAGCGCGGGCACGGCGUGACGGCGCGAGCAGCGGCAUGCAACGGUAGAACGCAUCAGCAACACGCAUCAGUUUUAGAGGAGCGGCAGCAUGCACGUACGCGAACACUGAACUUUUGCCAUGGUGGACAAAGCUCACGGGACGGCCACAAACGGAACGGAUCGAGCCGGAGAAGAGGGGGAAUCGGACGAGGAGCUCACCGCGGAGGCACACGGAGGCCCGUUGGUGGCUUAGGAGCUGCAGAGGCGACGGAUCGAUGAAGAGCAGCGGCGACGACCGAGGAAGAAGAAGGCGUCGAUCCGGUCGAGGUGGUUGCUCCGAGCUCGAGUUGAUCCGCGUAGGGGAAGCAGGGCAUGCUGGUGGAGCUCCUGGGCAUUCUCCGAUGGUGCUGGGAGGCUAGUGGCCGCGCCUACGGCGGCGGUAUGGCGACGGCAGCGCCGACGAGGUCGGGCGUGUGGGAGAGGGGCAAAGAGAGGGGGAUCUGGAGGGCAGCUAGGGUUCAACCAGGGCAUGGGUGUCCUUGUAGGUCGAUGGGGGCGACGGGGACGGCCGCAGGAUGGCCGACGUGUGGCCAUGCGCGUCAUGGACGCGUGUGCGGCGUCCACCGCGACGGUGAACAGGGGGAGGGAAGGGAUGGCCCGGGGUUGGGCCAGCUAGGCCAGUUGGGCCGGCACUGUGCACUAGGCCUAGUGCACAAUGUCCCCUUUUCCUUUUCUUUAACCUUUUCGUUUUCCUUUUGUCUGUUUUAUUUCUUUUCUGUUUCUUUUAGUUGUUGUUUAUCCUAGCGUUAACCAUAUACCAAAGUGGCACCUAAAUGGAUGUCACCAAUUAUGCCACUGCCAAAUUAAAAUUUUCUACCCAAAGUAAAAUAGUUUUGUAAUUAAUUAUUAUUUAGAAGUAUUUAAAUAAUAGUUUUGCUACUGUUUUAUUCAUCUUAGAGUAUUUAAGCAUUCUAUAAAAGUGUUGUUUCUCCACCAUAAUUACCUAUGCGAUAUUUGGUUCUCUCCGAACAUUUUAGUUUUAAAAUUUAAAAACUUUUAUUGUUUGUUUGAUUUUGGAUUUGAAUUCGAACCGGUUUCGAACUAACGUGAGAUUAGCAACAGUAAUCGAGGUGAUGUGGCAUCAUUAGUAGAGGUUCACUGUAGCUUGAAUAUCCGGGCGUCACAAUUACUAACCUUGAAGAACUUUUUUUUAACCUGAUGCUUCGGAACGGUCAUUAUGCGUGCCCAAAUAAAAGGAACUGCUUAUAACUUGGCAGAUUAUGCAUACCUAAAAGAAUAAUUGAGUAGUGGAUGUUCAAGCAUCAAAAACUUUUCAACCGGAUGUUCCUUACCACACAUCAAGUCAAUCUUAACAUUUUUCUGACCCCAUGUCUUCUUCAUUCAGCAGCAACUUAAAAGAUUGUACUUAAUUAUAGAAUAAAUAAAAUGCAUAUCAGACUUGAGUAUAUAUUAUAUAAAAGAUGUGAGUCCAGAAAGAAGUCCAAUUUUAGUCCAUGAUGUGUAAAUAGUCCAAUUUUAGUCCAUGAUGUGUAAAUAGUCCAGAAUUUAGUCUGCUUGGCUAGCGAGCUAGUGUCACCGCACCAUUUUUCAACCUCACCCUUUGAGCGUCAUCGCUCUCUCGUGAUGUGGCUUCCUGGAUGCCUUGCCUGCGGUCGACCUAGUGCUUCUUGACAGCCAACACGUCAAGCCCUUCAUGGUUGCGUUGCCACAUGGUAACAGAGGCAACUGCAAGUAACAACGACAGUCCAAGUAGAACAAAUAAGAUGAUUAUGAACUGGUCCUUCUGUUGCUUACCUAUCUGGUGGUCCAUGCUGCCCACAUAUUUGAGGAUUUACAGUGAGGAAAUUGAACCUUAAAUUAGAUGACAACAAGCUAUAUAAAUAAAUAUUUUGCAAGAACAGAAUGAAUGUAUACUAACUUCAAAAUGUAGUUAUCUGAUUAUCUAGGUGUGGUUAGUUGGGAGUCAAUUGUCGUUUUAUCUGAUUAUCUCUCAGACGAAAUCAGUAAGACCAAAAAUUGCCGUGCACCCAUCAGUCUGACAAAAUCAGUAAGACCAAAAAUGUAAGUACUCAUCAUCUGCUACCCGUGAGGAAUCAGUGGUUUGCCACCAAAUGAUGGGUAAACAAAAAUGCAGCUGAAGCAUGUUGCACAUGCCCUUGAAAAUAUAGAGCCAACGCUGAACCAUUUCAAAAAAAUGAUGACAGGUCCACUACGCCCCCUUGCUAGCUCAACUAAACACCUAACAAUGCCCUCAAAAUCAACACUGACACUCGUGGCUGAAUAAAAAAAAUCAACAACACUUCUCGCAACUAAACAUUGGCCUGGACAUGAAACUGCAUGGAUUAAUUAAUAACGAUCUUAUAGUAUGCCUAUGUGUGUACCCGCGCGUGGUCGUCACGACAAGGCAGACUUUGUCAUCCAUGGUAACAAGGCUUAAGUUGUGCACGCCAGAGGAACUACGCGAAGAGGCACUAAAGGGGUGCUCUCCCUCACAAGUAUUCCAUGGUCGACCACCAUAGCGAGCCGAACACCACAGAUGCAGGGACCCCUUGACUGACACGUCAACCAUGCUUGUUUCAGUAAGAAAUUUACAUGCACUUUUAGCGAGUCAAGAUAUUGGCGCCAACAAUUACAUAAACCAAACAAUGAUAUAAGUAUAGAAGCCAUUCGAUUAUUUAACUACAACACAUCCAUCUAGCUAACUAAAACAAUAACCAAAAUAUAUGAAAAAGGGAUAAUACUAACCAUAAGCUUGUAUAUCUUCAGUCUUGGCUCAUAACCAAACAACUUGAAAAGGUAGAAACUGCUGAUAGUAAAAAGAAGGUAAGUGAAACAAUUAUGAGAUUUUCAAAGAGAAGUUCACUUUAGUUGUAUGCAACCUUCGGCAACCAUGUCUUCAUGUGAGCAUCUCCUCAAGCUAGCAAUAGUUCACCGUGACCCUUCUUUGCUUCUCACCCAGCCUAUAGGAUCGGCAAUCAAUUUAUUCAAUGAGAGAAACAAACUUAAGUACAAAAAUGAUGAAAUUCGAACAUAAUUAGAAAUAACCUAAUGCAAUCAAAUCAACCAAUAAACUGAUUAAGAUUUUUUUCAAAAGGGGAUAACCCAACUGAUUAGAACAUUACUUGCUAGAUUUCCUGUCCUUGUGUAUCAUAUGAAUACUCCAUGCACAUCAACAUGUCAGGGGUGAUGUGGCCACACAUGGGUUCCUCUUGUGUACCGAUCGAAUGGAACCACUUCAUCCACGGAGGCGGCGUCCCUAGGGAUCGGCAGAGGCGGCGGCGUGCCCUCGGCUUCCGCAGGUGGUGGUGGGAGGUGGGACGGAAAAAAACCGAACGAAAGUGGUGGGACAAAAAAAACCAUGCCGUGGACACAAUCCUACCAACUGCUCCAUUAGGAGUAGAGACAAAAGCAAGGCUGCACACACCUAGGUUCGGCGCUCUUAAUUAAAUUUAACAAACAACAAAGAAUUGAAUGUCAAAAUUCAUCAAAGUUACUUAAUCUGUUGUGAGCGAUGACUUGUUGCACAUACCAGAGGUCUAAUAUUCUUUCAUUCUCUUCUCUUCUCUUUCGGAGUAAUAUGCAAAAUUAGCUAGAUCCAUGCCCAGUCUACACUAAAAGAGCAUAAGAACUUAUUUCUGGGAUUAUAGGCUAAACAGAAGUAUGGCAAGCUACGCAGAUAACAAGGCAACUCGGAACUAUUUUUUCAAGCAAAUGUAAACAGUAUCAGACACACAUAAAUCAUACCACAGUAUCAUACUUCAGACGUAAACCGAACAAACAAAAUUCAUAUCAGAGUAUUUAGACAUAAGUUGUUUACAUCAGCCAACAUUAUAUCCAACGGAACUUGAGGAAAUUAUGUUCUUAAAUACAGAGAAGGUUUACCUCACUGAAUGGAUCUUUUAUAUCAUCACGCUCGAUGCUGCUUUCCUGUAGAGUGCAGACAUGCAAGUUAAUUACUAUGCAUAAGAAGUCCAGCAGGUGUAUUAGGACCACCAUAUACUUACAUAGUUAGGAAAAAUAACCAUGUCAACAUCAUCAGGGACGUCAGCUAACAGGCGUCUGAUGGAAUACUACCGGGAUAUAACAACUCAUCGGUGUCUAGAUGCAUUAUCCAAUCCAUGCCAGAUUCCUACCAUGAAGAAAAAUGCUUUUUGUUUAUGAUAAAUACAAUACACUAAACGGACACUAUUAAUAAUUGCUGGUGAUAAGCCGAAAACAAACAUACAUACCCGGGCCAUCACAAUGGCCAUCUCCAUGUUGAGUGCUUGCUUCAAAAACAGUUUGUGGUUGCAAGGCUUGUAGAAGAAUCCUGCGAGCCAGGUUUCGUUCCAGAUUCGGCUGCAGGUGAAACAUAUACAUCAUCAGAAUGGGCAUCGAAAUGAAUUUGUGUAAAGCCCGACGAGGCAUGCGGGCGGCGAAGAUUGUUUCAGACCACCUGGCCUGCUGCUCCUCAAACUCCUUGGUCCUGUACACCACCUUCACACCCCUAAAGAAGAAGAAGAGAAACAGAGUCAGAGAUUGAGAACAAGCAGAGUGAAAUUGGUACUACUGGAUUCUUGGAAAUCUCAAGCGAGGAACGCACGGGGAUGGACUCGAGGACCCCGGCGACGCUGGGCUUGGCGGCCUUGCCCUCGACGAAGAGCAAAAAGUGUGUGAUGCCGAUGACCUUGUGGUAGAAGAGCCACGGCAGGAUCUGGUCCAGGCCUGCGGAGGUGCUCGUUUGCACGCAUACCUGGCAAGCAAGUAAAAGAUCAGCAGGUCGGACACAUCGGCCAUGGUGAGUAGCUUCAUGGUGGUCCGUGCUGAGUAGCUUCAAGUGUAAUCUUGAAAAGCAAUCAGUAUUAAAAUCAGUUGAUUCAGAAAUAGAAAAGGCAUCAAGGAAGCAACGUACCUCAAACUCUGGAACAAGACCUUGGUCUGCAGCAACCUUUUGCAUCAACCGGAACCAUGGGCCAAUUCGAGGGUUUGGCACCGCUGCCCAUCCAGGCCUCCCACCUUGAGGGGGGGGGGUCUCAUCCUCCCUCAGAUGUGGCACACCUUCAGAAGUAGAUUCACAAGAAUGAGCAAACCAUCAAUUAUAAAACAAUGAUUGUGGUAAGAAGGAACCACUAAUUAGUAAUCAACAUGCCUGUAUGCAUGUGGGUUGAAAAGCAUGGACAUUGCUCACAAACCAUGAAACCAAACAAUCGCAGGCUCACAGUAUACAUGGAAAUCAGGAAAAAUAUAGAAUAUAAUUAACUGCCAGUAUGCUAGAAGAAUAAGUGCAGUAACUUUCGAAUGUAUUAACAAUUUGUAUAUGGUAUCAUAUUUACGUAUUUAAUAGGAUUUUACACAUAACAUAUCGAGGUUUGAUUGCACCUAUGUGUUAAACAAGAUACAGACAGAUGAAUGCGGAACCAACUGAUUGGAUGGACAGUGAGUGCAGGGCGGUUGGAGACCUCGUAAACAGCCUCUCAAGUGGCUUCCUGCCCCCGAUGGUCAAGAUCAUCAUCUGCAACAAUGCUGCGUUCAUGCUUCAAUAACCUAACAUUCCCAUUUGUAAAGCUCUCCAUCCCCUCCUAAAAACAAAUAUCAGCAACGGUUAGUUGGGAACAUAAUGGACCAUACGAAUAAAUAAAAUAAGGAUAAAAAUUGCAGGUAACUUUUAACUGAGAUCAGAGCCAGUGGAACAUAAUGGACCAUUGUUUUGUUACAUUAGAUCCCUAUACACCAAUGAGGUAUGCAAUUUACUACGGUAUACUCAUGGAUAAAAAAAUCUAGGGACAACGCACCUACUAAUCAGUGUGCUUGUUACUCCCAGAUUGCGCUCACUGCCACUAUGUUGGCAGCAACAGCGGCCAUGCCUCCGGUAACAAGUGUACUUCCAGAUACUGAAAUAGUCUCCAUACACAGCUUUGGCAACAAAUUUCUAUUUUUUGUAUCAAAACCUAGAAAUAUAGGUUGAAUCUAUUCUUCAAGACAAAUCUAACCAAAUUAUUUCUUUUAGACUAACCAAAAUAAUGAUACGGAAUACAGUCAGAAUAAUUUUACUGCACGCAUUCUAUGAUGACAUCUAUCCCCACAUGGAGGUUUUCAGUAGACAAACAAAAAGCGAAAUUCUGGCCUUCACGAAGCAAAUCGUGAGGCAGGGAUUUCUCUCAUCGAACAAGCUUCCUGCUUCACAGGUCGGAUACAUCGGUCGCCGACCGGCGAGGAAGAGGGCGGAGGUGAGACUGGAAAGGUAGUACUCUGGGGUGGUGUGUGUCUGACGCGUCGAAGUGGAAGGACCAGCCGCAGAGGUAGGGGAAGGCGGGGGCGGCGAGCACCUCGACGCAGGAGGCGGCGAAGGAUUGGAGGGACUGCAACCUCGACGGGGCCGGCACGGCCAGGCAAGGGGAGACGGCGUCGUCCACGCCGCCGCCACGCCACUGGAGCGCGAAUGUGAGGAGGGCGAGCGCGAGCAGUUGGGCGGUGAGGAGGAGCAGCAGGUGGCGCCGCCGCCGACGCGGUGGAGGACGGCGAUCGGAGAUCGGGCCGAGGGCGACGCGCCGACGCCAGAGAAGAGCACAACCCUAGGUGGUGGGGGGGGCGCGACGGGAGGUGGCGGGGGCGGCCGCGAUGGGCGGCCGCGUUUGAGGGAGGGAGAUGGGGGAGGGGAUCGGCGGCGGCUGCGAGGGCGAGGGCGGCGGCUUGAUGUGUGAGGGCGACGGCGAAGGAUCUGGUGGGGCGUCGCCGGGAGUGAGGGAGGAGAUGGGGGCGGGCGGGGUCGGCACCGGGAGUGAGGGAGGAGAUGGGGGCAGGCGGCGCCGGGAUCGGGGAGGAGAUGGGGGCGGGCGGCGCCGGGAGCCAGGGAGAAGGUUGGGGGUUGGAGGCAUCGAUCGUAGGGUUUUUUGGCACGGUUUUUUUUCACGGGUGGGUUGCGAGUUAACAAAGGUGGGAGGAUGACAAAAAAACCAGCAAAAAUAAACCGCACAGAGUAUUCACCAACUGCUCCAUUAGGAGUAGAGAUGAAGUGGCACAGAAAGCUCAAGUAAAAGGGGAAAUAUAUUGUGUAUACCAUGAUUUAUUACUUAUAUUUGUCCAACCAAAAGAAAAUUUACACACCAAAGUACAGAUCACAAAACGUCCGGAGUACAUACUAGAAGCCCAUAUUCAACUCCACAAAACUCAGAACUCGGAUAUUGUGGGAAGUUUUAUUUCGGGAAGUUGUAUUGUAUCUCCAUCUUAUUAUUCUGCAAGAGGUGGCCAGACCGGCACCUCAAACUUUCACAAGUAGCGGCCGCCAGCCAGGCUCAGUGCUGCCCGGGCAGCUUUUCCUUGAUCUUGUCCAUGAUGCCCUUCUUUUCGCCGGCGCCAUCGGUGACAUGCGUCCCAGUACCGGUCAUUCCGGUGUGUCCUGGCUGCCCGUAGGUACCGCCUGUGGCCGCGGAGCCAUGUGCCCCGGUGCCGGCCAUGCCAGUACCCUGCUGUCCGUAGGUGCCAUCGGCGUGCUGCUGGUCACCGUGGCCACCAGGGAGCUUCUCCUUGAUCUUAUCCUUGAUGCCCUUCUUCCUCCUCCCGCCCAUGCCAUCAUCCUCAG